UGCAGUCGACGGUAGCAUUGAUUGCUUGCAAUCAGAUGACGAGUGGCGAACGGGUGCGUAACGCGUAUGCAACCUACCUUCAAUCGGGGAAUACCCCAGAGAAAUUUGGAAUAAUACCCCAUAGUACAACGAAUUCGCAUGUUUUUGUUGUUAAAGUUUAGGCGAUUGAAGAUGGGCAUGCGUGACAUUAGUUAGUUGGUGAGGUAACGGCUCACCAAGACUACGAUGUCUAGGGGUUCUGAGAGGAUGAUCCCCCACACUGGUACUGAGACACGGACCAGACUCCUACGGGAGGCAGCAGUGAGGAAUAUUGGACAAUGGGCGCAAGCCUGAUCCAGCCAUGCCGCGUGAAGGAUGACUGCCCUAUGGGUUGUAAACUUCUUUUAUGUAGGAAGAAACCCCUUUUCGUGAAGAGGGCUGACGGUACUACAGGAAUAAGGACCGGCUAACUCCGUGCCAGCAGCCGCGGUAAUACGGAGGGUCCAAGCGUUAUCCGGAUUUAUUGGGUUUAAAGGGUGCGUAGGCGGGAACUUAAGUCAGUGGUGAAAGCCCACAGCUCAACUGUGGAACUGCCAUUGAAACUGAUUUUCUUGAAUAUGAUUGAAGU
rnacentral:rRNA from 1 species